rnacentral:rRNA from 1 species
UACGUAGGGACCGAGCGUUGUCCGGAUUCAUUGGGCGUAAAGAGCGCGCAGGCGGUCGUUCAAGUCGCGUGUGAAAGCCCCCGGCUCAACUGGGGAGGGUCACGCGAUACUGAUCGACUCGAAGGCAGGAGAGGGUAGUGGAAUUCCCGGUGUAGUGGUGAAAUGCGUAGAUAUCGGGAGGAACACCAGUGGCGAAGGCGGCGACCUGGACAGAUAUUGACGCUGAGGUGCGAAAGCGUGGGGAGCAAAGCAGG